UCUCAAUCUCUCUUUGUAGUUCUCAAUCUCUCUCUUUGUAGGGAAUUUUAGGGCUUUUUCUGUAGAGUUUUCAUCACCUGAUGCACAGAAGAAGGUUAGAGAUGGUUGGAGAAGAAGAUUGUGGUCUCUAUGGUUAUGGAGGAGGUGAAAGAGGGCACCACUUUUGGUUUUCAAUGGAUCAAAGAUCACGGUAGAAAAACCAACUGCCCCAAUAAAUAGAGUGGAGUCUUGGGCCAACCCAUUUUCUCACUCAAAAAAAACAAUCGCAGCAAUGUUUAAUCUGAAUUGUUUGAGUUGUAGCGAUUCACCUAGAAAAAUCACAAUAUAGAGAGAGAUUGAGACAUACGAACCCAAAAAAAAAGAGAUACAGAGAGAGAUUGAGAAAUGCCUUACAGAAAUACCUACCCCCAAUAAAAAUAAGACAUAAAGAUACAAAUAUAGAGAGAUUGAGAAAUACAGAGAGAGAUUCACAGAUAGAGAGAUUGAGAAAUACAUAGAUAUAGCAUACCUAAUUUUUGUUCUUCAACCUUUCUCUAAGACCUUGUGACCUUGUGAGAGAGAAAGAUGUGUUCUUGGCAGUAAUGUCUCUUUUUUAUUUUCGUGGACCCAUUAUUCUUCACAAAGAGAUGAGAUUCUUCACAAAAAGAUGAGAGGACACCAGUGGGAUAGGGAGAGGGAGAGAAAAAGGGCCGAGGACGAGAGCAGCAACAAAGCGGGAGUUUUUGAGAAAAAAAUAACCCGCAGGGUUAGCCAGUGAAACUUUUUUUUAUCCCAAGAUUGAAAAGUAUAUCUAAGAUGAUCCAUAGGAGUCCUAUACAAGAAAGUGGGGCAGGAUCCCAUAGGAUCAUUACUCAUAUAAGAUUGCUUAAGUUCUCUAUGUAAAAUUCUUCAUUCUUUUGUAAACCAUGGCAUAAGCAGCUCUUCAUAGAAUAAUUUGUAGUCUGAUGUAGGCCUUAUCAAUAGCAUGGAGGGAGAAACUCUUUUUGUUCUUCCAUGUUUAAUAUAAUCCACUUUGUAUGUAAUUUGAAG
rnacentral:lncRNA from 1 species